rnacentral:rRNA from 1 species
GACGAACGCUGGCGGCGUGCCUAAUACAUGCAAGUAGAACGCUGAAGGAGGAGCUUGCUCUUCUGGAUGAGUUGCGAACGGGUGAGUAACGCGUAGGUAACCUGCCUGGUAGCGGGGGAUAACUAUUGGAAACGAUAGCUAAUACCGCAUAACAGUAGAUGUUGCAUGACAUUUACUUAAAAGGUGCAAUUGCGUCACUACCAGAUGGACCUGCGUUGUAUUAGCUAGUUGGUGGGGUAACGGCUCACCAAGGCGACGAUACAUAGCCGACCUGAGAGGGUGAUCGGCCACACUGGGACUGAGACACGGCCCAGACUCCUACGGGAGGCAGCAGUAGGGAAUCUUCGGCAAUGGACGGAAGUCUGACCGAGCAACGCCGCGUGAGUGAAGAAGGUUUUCGGAUCGUAAAGCUCUGUUGUAAGAGAAGAACGAGUGUGAGAGUGGAAAGUUCACAGUGUGACGGUAUCUUACCAGAAAGGGACGGCUAACUACGUG